rnacentral:lncRNA from 1 species
AAUGAGGGGAAGGGGGAAUCGAGGAGCAUGCCAGAUGAUAAAACUAAGGAAAAAUGCAUGAUAUGUAGUGAACAGGCAAAUAAUGCAUUAAUGAAAAACAAAGGAAAAAUCCUAUUGGGUCUAGCGUUGGACUAGCCCUUUCUAUGAAUUCCUAAUGAAAUAAUGAGCCACAACUAGCAUUGGACUAGUGUGGUGACGUACAUUCAUCCAUCACAUUUAUUCAGGCUAUGGAAAGCGAGUAGACAUGCCAAACACUUAUAAACACAUAGCACAUAACAUUUUGCAUGCUCGACUAGAUGCAAGGCCCUAACAAAGCAAAUUAACACGUAGCAACUAAGCAUGCAAGGCACAUGAGACAAUUAAAGCCCUAACUAUUACAUUUGCUAGCUAGGCACAAGUCUUCGAUAGGUCUUCAUUGAAUGCUCCUCCAAGCCCUAUCUAUUACAAGCCAAGAGGUGUACACAUACCCCAUUAAAAAUAACUUAAAUAAAAAGCAAAAGUAAAUGACAUAAAUAAAAGAAAUUAAAGAAAGGCUAGGAAAGCAAAGUAGACAUGUAUUUCUCACAUAACACGUAGGAGCACGUAGGAAAAAAAAAAACUCAAGAAUAUAGAAGUUACCUCCCUUGCAAUGGAAAUCGAGUAAAUGAGAUAUUAGCUUCAAAACAAUAAAAAGAGUCAAAGCACCAAUUUAUUUAACAAAUAAUCACAAAGGAUAAAAUAAACAUGAAUUUGAAUCAAUUAAAUCAUGUCAACAACCCACAUUUAAGAAGUCAAGAGAAGAAAGGACUUGAUUGCAAAGAUUGGCAAAAUUUUGGGGCCAAAAUUAAAGAAAAUAGAGUCCAAGGACUUAUUUGCAAUUAAAGUAAGGACCGAAUUAAAAGAAGUUAAAAAUGUCUAGGGCCACAGUACAGUUAAGGAGAAAUUCAGGGACUGGUUCGCAAAUGCAUUUUCUGGUUUCUUAGUGGAUCAAGCCACUUGGGCCAUUUCUUAUUUGCUUGGGCCACAACCUUCCAAGCCCAACCAAAGCCCAAAGCAAAACAAGCAAGCCAGCCCAUCUUAAGUCUAAUCAAAAUUCCACUAAAAACGUAUGGGCUUUAUCUCUCAAGCCCAUGUCAACAACCCAGAAAAAUCAAUCAUUAAUCCAUUUGUUAAACCCGAACAAAAGGUCCAGACCCAAACCGAAUUAUAUCUUAUGAGAAGCCCAACAAGAUAAAACCCAACUAAAAAAAUUGCAUUGAACCCCAAAAUUAAUCUAUCCAAAGUCACAUAAAGCCGUAUUAAAGAAGAAAACGUUUGGAGGGACAAAAUUGGUUAAAUUAUUUGAUUCUCUGAUUCAAGACAGAACAAAAGGCAGCUUGAGGGGUUCAAAUGCAACCAAAGCAGGGACUUAAUUGGAGGAAUCAUGAAGACUUUGGGGUCGAAAUUAAAGAAAAGCAACGUCCAGGGGUCAAUUUACAAAUUUCCAGAUUUUUGCAAACAAAUGGUUCACUGAAUCCUUUUUCUUCAACGAAUUUCACCAGAAUUCCAUCUCCUUUUAUUUCAAAAGAAACAAAACUCACACAAACUCAAAUCACGCAACAAAGUCCAUAAGUAAAACAGAAAAUCAAGAACCAAAGGAAAAAAAAUGAAACAAAAUCUAAACCAGAAAUUUCUGUAAAACACUCUUGGCCCUUGGUUCCUCACCAGCGAACUCGCUGGCUAUCUUCUGGCAGGCAUUUGCCAAAAUUUUGUCUCCCUCACACGCAGAUGGGCAAGUCAAUUUGCCCUUAGAGCUUUGUUUUUCAAUUGGGAAAUUUCAUCAAACAUUACAUGGGCGUAAGAAAAAAUCCAGCAGAGCUUUGUUCAAUUGAUGUCAUAAUCAGCCCCAAAACGUCAGAAACCAAAGAAAUUUCAACCCCAAUCAAACCAUACAGUAUACGUAUUCAAAAAUCAUGAACAAACAACCCUCUCACGCCAAUUCAAGAUGGAACGCGAAUUCAGAAAAGGCAAACACAAGCAUAUUAAAAUCCCUCAAAAACAGCCCAUUCGGCCUUAAAAAGCAUUAAACCUGCUGAAAAUCCAUUUUUCUUCACACAUUAAAAAUGCAAAUGAAUUGUCUUCAAAUGGAACGUUCGACUAAACAUUUUAUCGAACAUCAACUGGGCAUCAAAAACAUCACCAAUUCUCAACUUAAUUGAUAUCAUAAUCAGCCCCAAGAUGUCAGAAACACAAGAAAUUUCAAUCCCAAUCAAUACAGAGAGCAAGUAUAUUCAAAAAUGGCGUAUAAUUACAGAAACAUUGCUUGAACAAGUUCACAGAAGAUGAGGUUUGUGAUUUCCAGCUUUGGGCCUUGAAGAAAAACUGAAAUUUAAGGGAAGGAAAAGAUACCUUUUCAGCAAGCACUUUUUCUGAUGAAAUUCUCAGGCGAUGGUGGUAGAUUCUAGCGACGGCAAUGGCAGCUCCGGUUGCGGCUUCUUCCAAAUUCGUCUUUCCUCUGGUUCUUUCGCCUCUGCCCCAAACUCCUCCUCCAAAUUCCAGAUUGCAGCCGCGGCUUACUCUGUUUUCUUUCCUCUGUUUUUUCCAUUAGUUGCCGCCUCUGUUCUUCUUUUCCCUCUUAUUGCUUUCUUUGUUUUUGUUCGCCGAGACCUCCUUCCCAAUUUUUCCAGUUUUUCUUUUUUCAGUUUCUCCCCUGCUAACAGCCGCCAACUGCCUUUUCCUUCAGCCCAGCCAUCCACUCUCUGUUUCUUAGCCGAAACCAUUCCUCCCCUUUUCAUUUGCUUGCCCGACAGUUUUCGCUUUCUUCCCCCAAGUUCGCCGUAGCCCUUUUUCUUUCUUUUUGAUCCCCUCAGCCCUUGCCGAAGACCCCCUCUCUGCUAUUUUUCCUUUUUUCAUUCGGCCAAGCUCUCUGUUUUUUUCUUCAUUUCCUUCGCCGUCUCCUCUCUUUAGUUUUGCCCUGCUUUUCUUUAGCCGCCCCCCUUUUUCCUUUUUUUUCCAAUUCCUUCCAACUUCCCCCCUGUUUCUCUACAGCCGUAUACCCUAGCUCCCUUCUAGAAUCCUCCUUCCAGGUGUCCUAGACACCUGGCCUUUAAAGCUCCAAAUUUCAUCCCAAGGCCUUCCUCCCAUUUCUCUUGCAAGCUGCGGCAAGAAACGCAGCCUUUGCUGCAUACGCGACUCUUUCUCUUUUUUUUAUUUUAAACUAAUUAAUUAAAACAAAAAUUGAUAAUAAAAAGAAAUGACAAUUUAAUCGUAAAUAAAAUGUACAAAAUUCGCAACAAAAAGGUGAAAUAAAAAACUAAGAUUUUCCUGUAUUUUCUUUUUCUUUUUUCAUUUUUUUCAAUUUUUCAUUUUUCCUUUUCAUUCUUAAAUAAUGAAACUAAAUCUAAAACAACUAAAACAUAUUUUUUUUUGAACGCUUUUUCUUUCUCCUUUGAGAAAUUCUACGCUAAAACUUAAAAAUAAAAUAACAACAUAAAAACUAAAAAGUGAAUAAAACGAACACAGACUAAAAGAUAAAUAGUAAAUGAAAUUACACCAAAAUUUGGUGUCUACACUUAUUCUAACGCUCUUCACUAUAUGAUACCCAAGUACAAGAACCCACAAUAAGACAAUUCACAACUCGAGCCGGCCGGUCCCAAAAGUAAAUCAUCCAUAUUAGAGAUUCCUACCUGGCAUAAUUAACUAAGGUCUCCAACAAUAGACAAUUGUUUCACACUUAACAAGUCAAUCCCCACAGUCCGAGAACCCUCUCCCGGCACGAGCUCAAUAGGAGCUCUGAUACCAUCUGUGACGACCCCACCUUCCCCUAAGGCGUACCAAAGGGUUCGGCGGACCGCCUGCCCAACUCUCGCCAGGACUCACUCACUAUCUCAAUCGAGUCAUGUACACACAUCCAUGAACCAUAAAUAAUAUCCGCAAUUCAAGCUUAUAAUUUACAUUGAUAGAAAUCGAGGUACAAAGCCUCAAUACACCAAACUAGUUCAAAAUGUAUACAAUCCAAGUACAACAUGUUCCAUUCAAGGAAUAGCGCGAGUACAAGACCAAAAGUCAAAAGUCAAAACAAAAGGCUACGCUAGUCUUUUACAAGUCUCACGCGUCACUCGUACCCCCUGUAAGGAAAACAAAUAACGUGGUAUGAGCUAAAAGCCCAGUGAGAUUCCAAAUAGUAAAUUGACCAUUAUUUAUAAGUACAAGUUUUCGAUAUAGCAAAGUAACGAGCAUGAAGAGUUCAUAAAUGUGAGCAAUAACACGUCAAGUAGAAAUCUCAAAAUGAGCGAGUGUAAAAGUUUUUCAAAAUCAACAAUAAUCCAAUAAGCAAUAAUCAAUCCAAAGCAUAAGGAUACGGAUGGCCCUCAGGAGCCAACUUCCAUUCAUCAUCAGGAGCUUGAUCACGUAGUAGUUGACACUCCGUCAACUUUCAAGUAAAGGAACCAAUCCAGUAGAGCACCACUUACAUGACUCUCCGUCCACCAUUCACACCCCCUACUGGGCCCAAAAUCCUCAAUAAACAUGGGUGGUAAUACUCGAGUAUACCGAUUAGCCGAGGAGCUAUCACUCCACUCGACAAAAUAAGAGACCCAGGGUUCGUUACCCAAUCGACCAAGCCCUUGCCGGCUCGACUAGAGUAACUCGCCACAGGGUUUCUGGAAUUCCAGGAAGUGCGCACAUCAAGUAUAUCAAGUCAAUUGCAAUCAAUAAACAAGUAUAUCACGUAAGGGCAAGUGCGAUAAAGUACACUCUUGCCCUGUCAAUUCACGUAUAUAACAAGUACUCAUAUUGGUCACGUAUCCAGUUCAAGUAUCUAGUGCAAUUCAGUAUUUGAAAGCACUCACCACAAGAUAUAGUGCCUUUACUGGUUCGGAGUCCAAAUCUGCGAUAAAACUCAAUUUGAGAACUUUGAAACAUGACUAAAGUUCGAAACUUAGACGUUUCGUUCAAUAAGAAUCAAGAAAUUGAAAUUCACUUGGACAGUAGUCGUGAAACACUUGCUCGCCUUUUUAAACAGUAAAACUUUGUAAUAUUUAUACUUGAAAUUGUCUUGCGAGUUGAAAGUACAAGGAAAACAUACUUCGAGCAAUCAUUAUUUCAUUUCUCAAGGGUACAAGUUCGUCCAAGUCCUAACGUAUAACACUCAAGAAACAUAGUGGCCAAGGUUCUCGCUAGUUCAAGUAAUAAGUACUUAACCUUCACUCAAGUCGCUAAUAUAGUUUUCUAGUCCUCGAGUAAAAAUUCGGGCAGCAUGCCCUUUGUGUUUACCUAAUUUUCCAGCCUUUUAGGCUUCAUUGUUUUUCUCAAACACAACCCAACAUUAUACAUAUCAGCAAUUCAUGUCAAGAGCCGUUCCAUAGGCUCACAAUAUCAUAAUAACAAGAAUCGUAUUAAGUACAAGUGCAGAAAUUCAAUUUAGUUCAAAACAGAUUUGACGUACAAAUGCGGAAAUAACAUAUCCGAGGUUACGCUUAUCGGAUUAAAACGAAACCUAUGCCGUUUCGAAGCUAAGACACAGAGCUACAACAUUCAUGAAGGUCACUUAGUCCAGUUCCUAAUGUAACUCAGUCAAAUUCUCGAAUUACUAAACCAGAAACCAAUUCGUCGGCUGUUUAAACGCAGAACACUGUAAUGGUCAUAACUCAGUGUACAAAAGUCCAAUUCAGGUGUUCUUUGAGGCAUUUAAAGCUACUUCAGAACACUACAACUUUCAUGUUUUGGCCAGAGUAAAUCAGUAUGACUCCUAGUCAAAAAACGUGAUAAACUGGACUUAACUGAUGAAACGGACUGCUGGGAAAUAUUUAAAAUAGUAAGGGUAUUUUGGACUUUUCACAUCCUACGUUGCUCUGAUUGAGCUGAAAUUUUGUAGGCACCUAUAAAAUGUCAUUCUCUACAACUUUUCUUCUUUGACCUAAGGCCAAAUCAGCCUCUAACACACAGAUACAAAUUCGGACAGAAUGUAAGCAAGAAUUUCCAGAAAUCUGAAAUCUUUAGUUUUUAGUGGAACUUUCCUAAAUUUCUUGGUCUAAUCACUACCACAACACCUUAUGAAACCUCAAUUGCAACAUAUAAGCAUCUUACAACAAUUUGGACAGAAUUUCCAUAAGCCCUAGUUCAUCAAAUAAAUUGGGGAAAAACCUCUAAAACAUGCUAAUCAUCCAUGAUUCCACCACUAUAAUCAAACUACUAAACUUAAUUUAACAAAAUUGAAAGCAAAACUUAGAGAGAUAAGCUCUCUUACCUUGAAUAGAGGUUACAAAGAGCAGCCCAAGCCUUCCCUUUCCAAACUUUCACCACCAAACACUAACUAACCACUCAAGGACAAGAUUAAUCGGUUUAGUUCUUUGGAUUUCUCACUUUGUAGCUUGAAUCAAGAAGAAAUGAAGAAGUUUUUCUCUUGGUCUUUCCCUCUCUCUCUUAUUUC